rnacentral:rRNA from 1 species
UUAAGCGACUAAGCGUACACGGUGGAUGCCCUGGCAGUCAGAGGCGAUGAAGGACGUGCUAAUCUGCGAAAAGCGUCGGUAAGGUGAUAUGAACCGUUACAGCCGGCGAUGUCCGAAUGGGGAAACCCAGUGUGAUUCGUCACACUAUCGUUAACUGAAUACAUAGGUUAACGAGGCGAACCGGGGGAACUGAAACAUCUAAGUACCCCGAGGAAAAGAAAUCAACCGAGAUUCCCCCAGUAGCGGCGAGCGAACGGGGAGCAGCCCAGAGUCUGAAUCAGCUUGUGUGUUAGUGGAACGGUCUGGAAAGUCCGACGGUACAGGGUGAUAGUCCCGUACACCAAAAUGCACAGGUUGUGAACUCGAAGAGUAGGGCGGGACACGUGGUAUCCUGUCUGAAUAUGGGGGGACCAUCCUCCAAGGCUAAAUACUCCUGACUGACCGAUAGUGAACCAGUACCGUGAGGGAAAGGCGAAAAGAACCCCGGCGAGGGGAGUGAAAAAGAACCUGAAACCGUGUACGUACAAGCAGUGGGAGCACCUUCGGGUGUGACUGCGUACCUUUUGUAUAAUGGGUCAGCGACUUAUAUUCUGUAGCAAGGUUAACCGUAUAGGGGAGCCGCAGGGAAACCGAGUCUUAACUGGGCGUUAAGUUGCAGGGUAUAGACCCGAAACCCGGUGAUCUAGCCAUGGGCAGGUUGAAGGUUGGGUAACACUAACUGGAGGACCGAACCGACUAAUGUUGAAAAAUUAGCGGAUGACUUGUGGCUGGGGGUGAAAGGCCAAUCAAACCGGGAGAUAGCUGGUUCUCCCCGAAAGCUAUUUAGGUAGCGCCUCGUGAACUCAUCUUCGGGGGUAGAGCACUGUUUCGGCUAGGGGGUCAUCCCGACUUACCAACCCGAUGCAAACUACGAAUACCGAAGAAUGUUAUCACGGGAGACACACGGCGGGUGCUAACGUCCGUCGUGAAGAGGGAAACAACCCAGACCGCCAGCUAAGGUCCCAAAGUCACAGUUAAGUGGGAAACGAUGUGGGAAGGCACAGACAGCCAGGAUGUUGGCUUAGAAGCAGCCAUCAUUUAAAGAAAGCGUAAUAGCUCACUGGUCGAGUCGGCCUGCGCGGAAGAUGUAACGGGGCUAAACUGUGCACCGAAGCUGCGGCAGCGACACUUAGGUGUUGUUGGGUAGGGGAGCGUUCUGUAAGCCUGCGAAGGUGGCCUGUGAGGGUUGCUGGAGGUAUCAGAAGUGCGAAUGCUGACAUAAGUAACGAUAAUGCGGGUGAAAAGCCCGCACGCCGGAAGACCAAGGGUUCCUGUCCAACGUUAAUCGGGGCAGGGUGAGUCGACCCCUAAGGCGAGGCCGAAAGGCGUAGUCGAUGGGAAACAGGUUAAUAUUCCUGUACUUGGUGUUACUGCGAAGGGGGGACGGAGAAGGCUAUGUUAGCCGGGCGACGGUUGUCCCGGUUUAAGCAUGUAGGCGGAGGUUCCAGGUAAAUCCGGUACCUUUUAACGCUGAGGUGUGAUGACGAGGCACUACGGUGCUGAAGUAACAAAUGCCCUGCUUCCAGGAAAAGCCUCUAAGCAUCAGGUAACAUUGAAUCGUACCCCAAACCGACACAGGUGGUCAGGUAGAGAAUACCAAGGCGCUUGAGAGAACUCGGGUGAAGGAACUAGGCAAAAUGGUGCCGUAACUUCGGGAGAAGGCACGCUGAUAUGUAGGUGAAGCCCCUGCGGGUGGAGCUGAAAUCAGUCGAAGAUACCAGCUGGCUGCAACUGUUUAUUAAAAACACAGCACUGUGCAAACACGAAAGUGGACGUAUACGGUGUGACGCCUGCCCGGUGCCGGAAGGUUAAUUGAUGGGGUUAUCCGUAAGGAGAAGCUCUUGAUCGAAGCCCCGGUAAACGGCGGCCGUAACUAUAACGGUCCUAAGGUAGCGAAAUUCCUUGUCGGGUAAGUUCCGACCUGCACGAAUGGCGUAAUGAUGGCCAGGCUGUCUCCACCCGAGACUCAGUGAAAUUGAACUCGCUGUGAAGAUGCAGUGUACCCGCGGCAAGACGGAAAGACCCCGUGAACCUUUACUAUAGCUUGACACUGAACAUUGAGCCUUGAUGUGUAGGAUAGGUGGGAGGCUUUGAAGCGUGGACGCCAGUCUGCGUGGAGCCAACCUUGAAAUACCACCCUUUAAUGUUUGAUGUUCUAACGUUGGCCCCUGACCGGGGUUGCGGACAGUGUCUGGUGGGUAGUUUGACUGGGGCGGUCUCCUCCCAAAGAGUAACGGAGGAGCACGAAGGUUAGCUAAUCCUGGUCGGACAUCAGGAGGUUAGUGCAAUGGCAUAAGCUAGCUUGACUGCGAGCGUGACGGCGCGAGCAGGUGCGAAAGCAGGUCAUAGUGAUCCGGUGGUUCUGAAUGGAAGGGCCAUCGCUCAACGGAUAAAAGGUACUCCGGGGAUAACAGGCUGAUACCGCCCAAGAGUUCAUAUCGACGGCGGUGUUUGGCACCUCGAUGUCGGCUCAUCACAUCCUGGGGCUGAAGUAGGUCCCAAGGGUAUGGCUGUUCGCCAUUUAAAGUGGUACGCGAGCUGGGUUUAGAACGUCGUGAGACAGUUCGGUCCCUAUCUGCCGUGGGCGCUGGAGAAUUGAGGGGGGCUGCUCCUAGUACGAGAGGACCGGAGUGGACGCAUCACUGGUGUUCGGGUUGUCAUGCCAAUGGCAUUGCCCGGUAGCUAAAUGCGGAAGAGAUAAGUGCUGAAAGCAUCUAAGCACGAAACUUGCCCCGAGAUGAGUUCUCCCUGAGACUUUAAGUCUCCUGAAGGAACGUUAAAGACGAUGACGUUGAUAGGUCGGGUGUGUAAGCGUAGCGAUACGUUGAGCUAACCGAUACUAAUGAACCGUGAGGCUUAACCUU